GUAAUACNGGGGAUACGAGCGUNNUCCGGAUUUNAUUGGGUUUAAAGGGNGCGUAGNUGGNUUUUUAAGUUGGGGGUGAAAAGCUUNGGNUCAACCCACGGUCUUGCNUUCAAAAACUNGGUAGCUUGAGUUUAGAUGAAGUAGNCGGAAUGCGUAGUGUAGCGGUGAAAAUGCAUAGAUAUUACGCAGAACUUCCGAUUGCGAAGGCAGCUUACUAAAGUUACAACUGACANUGAGGCACGAAAGCGUGGGUAUCCAACAGGAUUAGAUACCCUGGUAGUCCACGCUGUAAACUAUGAUUACUCAGAGUAUGCGAUAUACAGUAUGCUCUCAAGCGAAAGCGUUAAGUAAUCCACCUGGGGAGUACGUCGGCAACGAUGAAACUCAAAGGAAUUGACGGGGGCCCGCACAAGCGGAGGAACAUGUGGUUUAAUUCG
rnacentral:rRNA from 1 species